UGGGGAAUAUUGCACAAUGGGGGAAACCCUGAUGCAGCGACGCCGCUUGAACGAAGAAGGUAUUCGUAUCGUAAAGUUCUGUCCUAUGGGAAGAUAAUGACAGUACCAUAGAAGAAAGCUCCGGCUAAAUACGUGCCAGCAGCCGCGGUAAUACGUAUGGAGCGAGCGUUGUCCGGAAUUAUUGGGCGUAAAGGGUACGCAGGCGGUUUAAUAAGUCGAAUGUUAAAGAUCGGGCUCAACCCCGCAAAGCAUUGGAAACUGAUAAACUUGAGUAGUGGAGAGGAAAGUGGAAUUCCUAGUGUAGUGGUGAAAUACGUAGAUAUUAGGAGGAAUACCAGUAGCGAAGGCGACUUUCUGGACACAAACUGACGCUGAGGUACGAAAGCGUGGGGAGCAAACAGG
rnacentral:rRNA from 1 species